rnacentral:tRNA from 1 species
UGGCAUAUAGCUUAGUGGUAGAGCAUCUGCCUACCAUCUGUGAGGUCCUGGGUUCAAUUCCUAGUACUGCAA